rnacentral:lncRNA from 1 species
UUGUGGAAGCAGAUCCACCUGGCAAGCUGUUCAUAGGUGGCCUUAAUACAGAACCUAAUGAAAAGGCUCUUUAAGCAGUAUUUGGGAAAUAUGGCCACAUAGCAGAAGUUCUUUUGAUGAAGGAUGGGAAAAUCAAGUCCAGAGACUUUGCAUUGAUUACUUUUGAGAGCCCUGCAGAUGCUAAGAAUGCUGCCAACGAUAUGAAGGGAAAGUCUUUGGAUGGAAAAGCAAUUCAAGUAGAGCAAGCCAACGAACCAUCUUUUGAAAGUGGUGUUAGGUGGAGACCACCAUCUCCUUCGAGAAACAGAGGCCCUCCAAGAUGUCUGAGAUGUGGAAGAAAAGGUAGUGGAGGAGCAAAAGGGCAUCCCUCAGGUGGAGGACACAUGGAUGAUGGCGGAUACACUCUUAAUGCCAACAUGAGUUCUUCUAG